rnacentral:rRNA from 1 species
GUCCUAUUGUAUUAUAUUUAAUAGGUCUGACCUGCCCAGUGAAGUUUUCAACGGCCGCGGUAUAUUGACCGUGCAAAGGUAGCAUAAUCAUUAGUCUUUUAAUAGGAGGCUGGAAUGAAAGGUUUGACGAGAAAUUAUCUGUCUCAAUUGUAUUUUUGAAUUUAUCUUUUAAGUCAAAAGACUUAAAUUUAAUUGAAGGACGAGAAGACCCUAUAGAGCUUUACACUUUUUAUUAAAAACUUAAUUAGUUUAUAAUUUAAUUUUUUUGUAAAAAGUGUUUUGUUGGGGUGACAAAAAAUAUAAAUUUAACUUUUAUUAUAAUAAAUCCAUUAAUAUAUGAAUUUUGGAUCCAAAAUUUUUGAUCAUUAGUUCAAGUUACCUUAGGGAUAACAGCGUAAUCUUCCUCCAGAGUUCAUAUUUACGGGAAGGGUUGCGACCUCGAUGUUGGAUUAAGAUAAUAGUUAGGUGCAGUAGCUUAAUUAAUAGGUCUGUUCGACCUUUAAAUUCUUACAUGAUCUGAGUUCAGACCGG